CAUGCACUUGGAAGAGCUUUCAAUAAAAAGUGCGGUUCCAUUAAAACAUUGGGCCUUUCAGGAUUUAUUCAUCUGAAACAAUUACGCAUUGAGCAUUGCGACAGCCUAGUUGAAAUUAAGGGCUGUGAUAAUUUGGAGUCCUUGGAAGUCAUAUUUUUAUAUUUUUGCAAGUGUUUGAAGAAAUUCAAGGCUUCUAGGUGCGGCAAUCUAAUUGAAAUUCAAGGUCUUGAUGGUGCGAAGUCCUUAGAAGAGUUGGAUUUUACAGGAUGCAAAUCAAUGGAGACUUUGCCAGAUUUGAUAGGAUGUGUGAAGUUACGAUCUCUAAGAGUUCGAGACUGCAAGAAACUUACACGGCUUCAGGGACUUGAAAAGUUGAAUUUAGUUGAUUUGGAUAUUUCUGGUUGUGACUCCUUGGAAGCAACACCGAACUUAUCUGGAACUCGCAUCUUUAGAAAUUAUGAACAAGAGCUGUCUUUUGAUUCAUGGAGUGAUGUUUCCUGAAUAGAGAGGAAGCUACUGCGACAACUGAGGACCAUCUUGCGUGCCAACCUUGAAGAUGCUCUGGGGCUGACUGGAGUGUUACAAGGAAGUUUUGAUGCUUCUGAAUAUUCAAACACUUGAUCUGAUCUCAACGCCACAUCCCUGAAUGAUUGUAAAUAGUUGUCCGAUGCGGUUACAUUCUAAUGGUAUCACUCCCGAAUUGAUAAGGCUUUGUAGAGGGAGACUAAAGCUGCAUUUGAUGAAACUUGGAGAAAGUCCCCAGACACCAUGGGUUGGAGAUACGGGCAAGAAUGAGCUAUGUCAGUAUAGAAAGACAUUUUGGAGUUUUUUGCUAUUGGCGUUUGUCAUUGGCUCUGUGUUGUUAUUACUCUUCAAAGGAUUCUUGAUAUAAGGCGACCUCUUCUCAUGUGGUGUAUUAGUCCUUCGCAAGCUUUGAAAUUGUGCUACUCUUUAGCAAAGGCUGCAUCACAAUCGCUUGGAGGUAGCAACGGCUGCAUCAUAAAUCACUUGGAGGAAGACCGCAUGUGUAGACGGUUCUAUAUGUGGAGUCAAGCUUAAAAUGAGAGUUGCUGACAAGAUUACCAUUUAGAUGUCCACUUUAAGCUACAGUUUUGUGACUGGGAGGGACUUUUUUUGUGGAAAAAGCAAAUGCCAAGAGAUCAGCAAAUAAUCUGUAAAUUGCAGCCAAGAGUUUCAAUGAACAGCUUUCCAAGAAGACAGGAGUUUCCCAUUUGGAAUAAUUUUGAACACAAAAGAAUGGCAUUCAUUAGUGUAAAAUCAUCUCUUUGGUCCAGUUAUGUUGGAAUAUUCAUAUGUAGGCAUUUUUGCAAUCACUUUGGCGUGUAAUCUCAAACUUGAUUUGUUUAAGCAUGAAUCUAAAAGCAGAAGAGACACAGCCAUGUACAUUUUCAUACCUAAAAUCAAGUAGAGAGACUAGUUCGUUCUUGAAGAGCAGCAUUACUUUCUCCUU